UAUCUUCUGCCUUUUGCCUUUCAA
rnacentral:piRNA from 1 species